AUUGAACGCUGGCGGCAGGCCUAACACAUGCAAGUCGAACGAGUGGCGGACGGGUGAGUAAUGUCUGGGAAACUGCCUGAUGGAGGGGGAUAACUACUGGAAACGGUAGCUAAUACCGCAUACCAUCAGAUGUGCCCAGAUGGGAUUAGCUUGUUGGUGGGGUAACGGCUCACCAAGGCGACGAUCCCUAGCUGGUCUGAGAGGAUGACCAGCAACACGGGAACUGAGACACGGGCCAAAGUCCUACGGGAGGCAGCGGUGGGGAAUAUUGCACAAGGUGCGGAAGCCUGAUGCAGCCAUGCCGCGUAUAUGAAGAAGGCCUGCGGGUUGUAAAGUACGUUCAGCGGGGAGGAGUUACCCGCAGAAGAAGCACCGGCUAACUCCGUGCCAGCAGCCGCGUAAUUC
rnacentral:rRNA from 1 species